CGGCAGUUAAUCUAUCAAAUCUUAAGCAAAAAAUCGCUAAUUUCCAAUCUAUAUAUUCACUCUCUUUAAUUCUUCCUUCAAUCUUCUAUCAUCAUUUAAUCAUGGAGAAUGAUGUUCCCGCUGACAUCCAUUUCACUUAUUUUGCAAACGUUACUCGUGUGCUUGAUUGCCCGGUCAGCGUAAAACCAUUCGAUGUGAGAAAUUCAACACAGUAGGCGACGUAAUUGCUUUCUACGAUGAUUAUGCUCGUGCUUCUGGUUUCGACACACGGAAACGUGGAGCCAAAUCCACAUGCUUAUCAACUUGCUUAGAUAUGUUUGCUAUAUCACUUGCUUGGUUAAUAAUGUAUCACAUAUUGCAUAGCAAUUUGUAAUAUGUUGUUACCCAGUCAGUUAUAAGUGUUUUACCAUAGUACAAGACAAUUUUUGAUUGAUUUUGGGUAACAUUCGCGAUUGAUUUUGA